CAGGGCUCCAAUUCACAGUGUCCAUUAAUCCAGGAGCCACAAAGGGAAAGCUAGCUGAUAUGUUAUGAGGACAUUUGAGCAGCCCCAUGGAGAAGUCCACGUGGAAGGAACUGAGGCCUCUUGCUACCGUUAUGUGAGUGAGCCAUCUUGGAAGCAGAUCCUCCAGCCUGGUUGAUCCUUUGGAUGACUGCAGCCCCAGGUGCCAUCUUGACUACAACAUCAGGAAAGAUUCCAAAUUAGACUCCCCCAUCCCAGGCCUGGCCCAGAGAAAGAGAUGAAAGCUGAC
rnacentral:lncRNA from 10 species